GUGGAUCACAUGAAAGCAGAUCACGAUACUCACAGGAAAAUGGCAGAGUGUUUGGGAUUCGACCACGACCAGCCGUACAUCUACGAUGGAGUCGCAGAUUUCUGUCAUAAGAAAUCCUCUCUAGAAAUGGCGGUCGAUCUACCGCCACCGAUGUAGGACGAAAGAAGAUCGAACAAACAUCCGAGUGCCAACAAACAUGUUGUUCAGCAAACAAUAAAAGCAAAUACUGAAACCUC